UUGGUUCCGUGCUAAAUUUCAAUAUAUUUUGGUAAAAAUAGCAACGAUGCAUAACAAAUAUUUUUGAAAUAUGUUUUUCUUAAUUGUUGGCAACUUAUAUAUAUAUUGUAUAAAGGGAAUGAAGUAUCAAAGCUAACCUAGCUAUUAGAAAAUAUUUCACAUGGAUGAGAUAAUACCAUAAAAUUACUUGUUCGUGAUAACAUCCGAAGCUUAGGUAGUGAUAUUAUUUAUCAAGAAAGAGAAUCUAUACAUUUUAGCGGACACGCAGAGCAAAGUUAGCGUAAACGUCGGACAACUGAAUGAAGGGACAAUGCUUACAAGAAGAAAGUAUAGAAUAACAUUAGUACUUAUAACUUUCGCUAUUGUUACUGGUAUAAUGAAAGUAUCCGGUCAGCUGUGUCACAAAGGAGUAACUUCUGAAGGAUAUGUUUGUAAAGACACAGGACCUUUCCUAAAUGGACAUGGUCGGUGUUCUAGAAGUUCUCAUACAGUAAAAAGGUGUGGGUUUGUCGGUUCAAGCUGUAGGUGCAGAUCGAGUCUAAUCCUAAAUAUGGUCGUAAAAUCAUCUGGAACAUCGAAUGGUUUGGUUGGACAUCAAGCAUACGCAACACUGCUGUCAUCAAAUAUCAGAGUGAAUAAAAUACUUGAGGAAACAUUCACUGGAAAUUAUUGCAGAUAAAAGGCAAAUAAAUGAUAUUAGAAACAGCGAUUUUAUGUUAUGAUUGAAGGGAUAGGAAUCCAACAAGAUCGAACUAAGUAAGAUACAAAGGAGUGACUUUAAUGUAUGUCUGGUGUGUCUUUCAAAGCCAACCAAAAUUGAAUCUUUUCUUUAAUCAUCUAGUCUUUUUUAUAACCAUUUUUGCUACUACUUCCUUUUUUCAUUUGAUUAAAUUAGUGGCGAUGAGUAUUCGUUAUGAAACUAAAAACACGUCUACUACAGAAAAGAAUGCCUUUUUUCCGUACUGGUUAUAUAUAUUUCCAUUGGACCCUUUUACAAGACAGGUAUCACAAUGACUAAAGACCUAGUUCAAGUCUCAAGAAUAUAUUGAAUUUUGUAUUCAAGAAUAUAUAGAAUUUCGUAUUGCCAUGCAAUACCUGGAAAUCCAACGCACUCUACUAAAAGAUGCAAAGACGUUCUAUGAUAGAUCGUUUCAGUCUUGCACACCGGACUGGCGUUUCGGGUGAUAUUACCCAUGUCGACACAACCCAUCUAGCACCCCCAUUCAUUCAUUCAUUCAUGAUAAUAUUGGAAUUUAUGUAGACAUCGAUAGAAAUCAACUAUCUUGAUAGUAAUGUUGCUCUUUUUCCUUUAAGUAUAUUUCUCGCUUAAAAAUAUUUUACGGAAAAAGAUAACGUUACGCUACAAAUGAUAGAACUUAUUACCGGAACUCUGUUGUUUUGCGUCUUUGAAACAUCCAGACGUGCAUUUCCCGCACUUUGUUUAAAACUCCUGCUGUAAGAACUCCUGCUAUAAAGAAAUAAUUUCAUUUUCCUUUGCUCAUUACAUGAUUUGUCUAAUAUGGUAUACAAGAAAGAUAAUCUACCACAGGCUGAACAUGCGAAUAUGAAUAUCCGGGUCUCGGGAGACUGUUUCUACCGAAACUCGGCAGAGCACCAUUGCCGCCAAGACCAGUUACCCUCGAACCGGUGACAGAUUAUUAUAGUCUUAGUCUAUUUACUAACGUAAAACUAUUUUGAAAAUGCUAUAUUUGUUUUCUGUUUCUCUUGUGUUUCACAUGAAGGAUUUCUCUCUAUCUGUUCUGGGGGCUUUAUCUCACUCUGUCCCUCUGGUCAGAUCGCUCUGUGUUUGUACUAGUAGAGGAUGAAUUGCGCGCUCUGUGUGGCUGCGUUUGCUAUAUGUAAAGCGCCUUUGAACGUGUGAAAGGGCGCUAUAUAAAUCUGGUAUAAUAAUGUUAAUGAUAAUAAUAAUAAUAAUAAUAAUAAUAAUAAUAAUACUAGUAAUAAUAAUGUGGUGCGCUCGGGAUAAAAUAAGAUGUCGUACGCGCGAGAUAAGAUGAUGAGCUCUUGAAAUAAGCUGUCAUGCGCACGAGAUAAUUUAAUCUUAAAAAAUGUAAUCUAUGUCCUUAACAUUCCACUGUGGAAUAUUCCAUAUUUAACGACUUUUUGUAAUAACACAUAUAACAAAAUUUACAUAUGAAAGUUAUUUAAAGAACGCCAUAUCUACGUAUUACUUGUUUGCGUACAUCACCGGGAAGCAAGGCAGGUGUCUCAAGACGAGAGCAGCUGUACAUUUUCUGAGGAAAAAAAACAACAAACAAAACAGUAUUUCGUGUAAAUACUUGACAUUCUUUUAUUUUGUCGCUUGAAAAAUUGGUAAAUGAUAUAACAUACGGUCGUUUAAUGGGCAUAGAUACUUAAAGUUUACAAAAAUAACCUUUUUUUAAAAAAAACCUUUUGAUGGAAUAUCUGUUGUCAUUACAAUUUUAAGAAAACGUUUAUAGUGACCCGCAUUUAAAACUGAUUCGGAAUACCCAAGUAGACCGUAUUUGAAUAACUUAAGGUUUACAAUUUCCUUUUUAUAAAGUGUAUUUGCCUUAUUUCACGCAUUUUGCACAUGGGAUUUGAUAAAUAACACCCGACAAGUUAAAUGUGAAAAAGGUACAUAUAAUUGUUUGAGACACGGAAUCUGUUGGAUCUACUUUCUAUUGUUACAGCUGUGACCGAGAAGACGUUGAAGGAAAAUGCCUGCGAAACUUUAUACCUUUGCGAUGUUUUUCAUCCUACUGGUAAUAAUAAAUAGCAUAACAGAAGUGUCUAGUCAGGCUUGUGUGAAACGCUUCAGGAACGGACAUUUCUACUGUAUGAAAAUAUCCACUAAAUGUCCGUCAUGUUGGUGGAUUGGCAGUACAUGCCGGUGUUCUAGCGGAUCGGCUGUCGCAAGAUUUAUCUCCCACGUAAAAGAGAACAAGCCAGACAGAAAAUCGCUUUUGAAUACUGGUGGUACGGAUGGAAAUGCGCAGCUGAAAAGUCUGAUUGCAAAAUAUAUUCAUAGCAAGUUGCAACACUAACUUUUAUAUUGAUUUACAGGAAACAACCAUAUUAUACGUUGUUACCAUAGAGUUUGUUAAAAUAUGUCAUGUCGGAAAUCUAAAGUGUACACCAUAGUUUAUGUACACAAACAGUCUCGUUUAUAUAAACGAAAGAGUCAGAAUGGAUUAAGUGCUAGGGGCACAAGGUGUGAUGCACAUUUCAUUACCUCUCUUGAAUCAAGUCUGCUGUAUAUAUGCUGCUUGGUUCGUUCUUUGCAUCCAAGGGAUCUUUUUACAGAUAAUAUCAUGAUGCGUGAUAACGUUGAACUACAAUUAGAACUACCAACUACCAAUAACAACUGACACACAAGGAUGUAACAUUUGUGUGGCAUUGGUAUAUGCAAGUACACGAUGUGAAUAAACUAACGAGUGUUCUUUGCCACUUCUAUUUUUUUUUGUAAAAGAGGAUUUCUGUUUCUUGCUACCCCAGUGGUAUAGGUGUACAAGAAAAUAAUGUUAUCUGUAUUUCUUAACAGUUUGGCUCAUUACUGUGUGCCAAGGAUGCUUUGGUUCAAUUUAAUAUAUCAUACUUUUUGCUAUAUUAAGAUAUUAUAUAUUUUUAGAGAGUAGAAAGGUUGAUCAAAGUAUCAUAGUAACCUAAAUGUAAAUAAAACGUUAUAUAUUCUUAAAACCAUAUGACUGGUCUUUUUGUAUGAUUCAUGGUCAAAAUUAGGGAAUCAUUGGCGAAGUGAUUUACCGAUCGAUGUUAAUAUCCCCACUUGUGUUCAUUGCUAGGUGAUUUACAUAAAUUGGCACUAUUUCAAGCAGUAUCACCUUAGAUUUCAUGCAGGAGAGGUAAAUAUGACACCUGCUUGGGGCUCGACAACAAACAAGCUGUUCCAUCCUUUACAGGAGGCGACAUCCUUCGACCUUCCCAUGCUACUUGUUCCAUCCUUUACAGGAGGCGACAUCCUUCGACCUUCCCAUACUACUUGAAACAGGAAAGUUUUACAUUUCGAAUAAACAUAUUUGUUUAAAAUGAACACAUUUAAAAUAUUUCCGCUUUUAACCUACAUCAAAAUAUCUAAUGAUGUAUGUAGUGAUAAAAACAUAUCUGUUACAUAUUAAACCUCAGAUUAACGAGGUUAGGUUAAAUAUGAAAGACCAAACUUCAUCCCAUGUGAUACACCGGUAUAGUGAUAAAACCAACUUUUUUCAAGGAUUGCUGAAUUUAUAUAUGACAUCUACUGAGACUAAUUACAAUUUUUCCGUUUAUGGAUUAGUUUAAUUACACAUUCUUGAAAGUCUCGUAUAAAAUCAUAGCAAGCCAUUGUAAAUCUGAAUGGAUUUGACUUCAAAGAUAUUCUCGAAGUAGUUUAAAUCUGAUAAUAUUUCUAUUAAUGAAGACGACGUACAUACUGCGCAACAACUUUGUCCAUAAAUGAAUGUCUUGAGCAUUUAGGCCAAGUCCAUAUUUUCUUUACCCCUAGCAGAAAUUCGACUCACUAAGACUACGGGAAGAACCUAUGCUCCAAUUGCGGCGGUUAAAUGUUUGGGACCUUGUUUUCGUAGGUGUAUCAAAUUUUCUCAACACAUUAAUUUUUCAAGGGGCUAAAACUAGUUUUGUUUCAUUUUUACCAGUUGCUUAUCGUAAAAUCAGCAUUUCGUUCAGAGUUACAAAGUCAAUCUUUUUCCAAAGCAAAACUACUUCACAUAAUAUUUUUUUUAGUAUUUUGUUUAAUAAUAUAAACUUUUCAAUCAAGCAGACAGAACACUUAUUCGAAAUUGGUGCGUUCAUCAAAACUACGUAUGAUUGUUUACCUUUAUCAAAAUAUCAUGUGACACUUGUAAACUAUGUUUUCAAAAUACCUGUCCCGCAUCUGUUACACAUUUUAAAAUCGUUUCGUUUGAAAAAGCACUUGUUAUAUUAAACCAUAAUGUAGUUUAAGUUUUCUCCACAUUCAAUAAGACGCUUAAAAGUAUUGUACGUAUCAUUUCUAUUUUCUCAUUUUACAAUUGAAACCCCCGGGUUAAAUGAGAGACAUUCUUUGCCAAAUCUAUACUAAAGACUUUUUUGGUGAAAAUUUUUCAGACAUAAACCCUGUCAUUUCAUCACUUUUCUACUUCACAUAAUUAUACGGUUGUUGAACUAUACCGCUCCAAAUUGCGUUCAUAUCACCUGCAAUAAUUACCUCGUAACUAUUGAGAUCUAUUUCUUGCAUAGAUAUUAUUUUACAGUGUUUACAAGUGGUUUAAUAACGAUGACUUCUGUCAUUUUUAUCAACUCCAGCAAUCUUUCAAAACAAGUAUAGAGGUAAAGAAGUUAUAAUUUAACCGUGCCUUGAGAAAACCAACAUAGUGGCUUUGCGACCAGCAUGGAUCCAGACCAGCCUGCGCAUCUGCGCAGUCUGGUCAGGAUCAGUGCUGUUCACGAACGGUUUCUCUAAUUGCAAAAGGCUUUGAAAGCGAACAGCAUGGAUCCUGACCAGACUGCGCGCAUCCGGACUGGUCGCAAAGCCACUAUGUUGGUUUUCUAAUCAUAUUAAUGUAUCGCACGAAGUAAAAGCUGACCAGGUCUAAAUAUAUCUAAUACAUAUAAAUAUUUAUGUAUAUAAGAUAAUCGUUAAUUAUAUGUUUUCCGUCUUAUUGAAAACCAAAUAUUGCAUUAAAAUGUAUUUUCUAAUCAUAAUCGGCAACCACCAAAAGUUGCCGAACUUGUAAUAUAACGGAAAGGUCUCGUAUAGUUCCGAUGUUAACAGGGUUUUACCGAUUGACGGUUAUGGACACGAAACCUUUAUGCAACUGAAUAAAGACUUGUUUCAUUUAAUGCUUUUGUACACAACAUAUGAACGCAUCUUUAUAAGCCAUCCGACUCGAUAUGAAUACAUAUAUAAGCUACUUUAAAACAUAAAACAUCUUUAAUUAACGUGAUCAUUAUAAGAAUCACAGAGGGGGUUUCAAUAAUUGUGUACAUAUGAAAAAGUUCCAAGUGUUUUGCUACCCUGUAUACGAAUCCUUACUUAAAUUACUUUCUAAUAUGACUUUCUCUGUUGAAACACGCCUACUUUCUAAUGUGCCUUUCUCAGUUGAAACACGCUUACCCUAGGAUGACGUCAGGUUAACGUGAGGUGACGGCAAAGUUUUUGUUGCAACCAAGAAAGAGCGCUUCUAUGUUUCAUCUACUGUACAUUUUUUAGAUUAAGGGCACAUUUGAAACGUGUUUGAUACUGAAUGUUAUGUUUUCACUGAUUUCUGAAAAAUGUUUGAUAAUAAAUAAAUAAAUGCUAUAAAGAAACA